rnacentral:rRNA from 1 species
ACGGGUGAGUAAUGUCUGGGGAUCUGCCCGAUAGAGGGGGAUAACCACUGGAAACGGUGGCUAAUACCGCAUAACGUCGCAAGACCAAAGAGGGGGACCUUCGGGCCUCUCACUAUCGGAUGAACCCAGAUGGGAUUAGCUAGUAGGCGGGGUAACGGCCCACCUAGGCGACGAUCCCUAGCUGGUCUGAGAGGAUGACCAGCCACACUGGAACUGAGACACGGUCCAGACUCCUACGGGAGGCAGCAGUGGGGAAUAUUGCACAAUGGGCGCAAGCCUGAUGCAGCCAUGCCGCGUGUAUGAAGAAGGCCUUCGGGUUGUAAAGUACUUUCAGCGGGGAGGAAGGCAGUGAGGUUAAUAACCUUACUGAUUGACGUUACCCGCAGAAGAAGCACCGGCUAACUCCGUGCCAGCAGCCGCGGUAAUACGGAGGGUGCAAGCGUUAAUCGGAAUUACUGGGCGUAAAGCGCACGCAGGCGGUCUGUUAAGUCAGAUGUGAAAUCCCCGGGCUUAACCUGGGAACUGCAUUUGAAACUGGCAGGCUUGAGUCUCGUAGAGGGGGGUAGAAUUCCAGGUGU